AGAGUUUGAUCAUGGCUCAGGAUGAACGCUAGCGGCAGGCUUAACACAUGCAAGUCGAGGGGCAGCGCGAUGUAGCAAUACAUUGGCGGCGACCGGCGCACGGGUGCGUAACACGUAUGGAAUCUGCCCUUUACUGGGGGAUAGCCCGGAGAAAUCCGGAUUAAUACCCCAUAAUAAUCGAGGUGGCAUCACCUUGAUUUGAAAGCUCCGGCGGUAAAGGAUGACCAUGCGCACGAUUAGCUAGUAGGUGAGGUAACGGCUCACCUAGGCUACGAUCGUUAGGGGGCCUGAGAGGGUUAUCCCCCACACUGGUACUGAGACACGGACCAGACUCCUACGGGAGGCAGCAGUGAGGAAUAUUGCGCAAUGGAGGCAACUCUGACGCAGCCAUGCCGCGUGCAGGAAGAAGGCGCUACGCGUUGUAAACUGCUUUUAACCGGGAAGAAACCCCUCUACGUGUGGAGGGUUGACGGUACCGGAGGAAUAAGCACCGGCUAACUUCGUGCCAGCAGCCGCGGUAAUACGAAGGGUGCAAGCGUUAUCCGGAUUCAUUGGGUUUAAAGGGUGCGUAGGCGGGGUGGUGAGUCAGUGGUGAAAUCCUGCAGCUUAACUGUAGAAUUGCCAUUGAUACUGCCAUUCUUGAGUACGCUGGAUGUGGGCGGAAUGUGCCGUGUAGCGGUGAAAUGCUUAGAUAUGGCACAGAACACCGAUAGCGAAGGCAGCUCACAACGGCGAAACUGACGCUGAGGCACGAAAGCGUGGGGAUCGAACAGGAUUAGAUACCCUGGUAGUCCACGCCGUAAACGAUGAUCACUCGUCAUUGGCGAUACACUGUCAGUGACCUAGCGAAAGCGUUAAGUGAUCCACCUGGGGAGUACGGCCGCAAGGCUGAAACUC
rnacentral:rRNA from 1 species